AAAGUAGAACGAAUGACUGCCUCUGUUUAAGGCAGGGGAGGAAAGUCCGAACUCCUUGGCCAGGAUGCCUCGUAAUGCGAGGGUCCCAAAAUCGUAAGAUUAUGGGAUAGGAAAGUGCCACAGAAAAUAUACCGCCUUAAAUUAUUUAUUUAAGGUAAGGGUGAAAAGGCGAGGUAAGAGCUCACCGCUUGUCAAGUAAUUGACAAGGCUUGGCAAACCCCAUCCGGAGCAAGACCAAAUAGGAGGAAACAAGUGGAGCCGCUUAAUCCCUCGGGUAGGUUGCUUAAAGUAUAAGGCGACUUAUACUAAAGAGAAAUAGUCAUUUAAAACAGAAUUCGGCUUACGGUUCUACUUUAGAA
rnacentral:RNase_P_RNA from 1 species